AGCCCUGUGGUGUAAUAACACAUGCCGAAUUGCAAAUUCGGAGAAGCAGCAUCACCCCUGCCAGGGCUU
rnacentral:tRNA from 1 species